rnacentral:snRNA from 1 species
AGGUGUGAGGGUAAUCUGGCUGUGACAUCUAUCACCCACCAACUGCCAGGGCUGAGUCCGCUGAUCUAGUUGGUUAGGUAGGUGUCCCCUUCCUCUCUCAACGCUCCAUAUGCAUUCUUACCGAAGCACAACUGGUCAGAGAGCACGACCUUCUCUGAUAAGAGAAGGAUCCAUUCUUUGUCAGGAGUAUAUGUGUAGCUGCACAACCCUGCUAGAGCCUCCAAAUAAAGUCUUAAGAAAACUGGGUACCGGGCCCAGCAAAUGGUGU